rnacentral:rRNA from 1 species
GACGAACGCUGGCGGCGUGCUUAACACAUGCAAGUCGAGCGAUGAAGCUCCUUCGGGAGUGGAUUAGCGGCGGACGGGUGAGUAACACGUGGGUAACCUGCCUCAUAGAGGGGAAUAGCCUUCCGAAAGGAAGAUUAAUACCGCAUAAGAUUGUAGUACCGCAUGGUACAGCAAUUAAAGGAGCAAUCCGCUAUGAGAUGGACCUGCGUCGCAUUAGCUAGUUGGUGAGGUAACGGCUCACCAAGGCGACGAUGCGUAGCCGACCUGAGAGGGUGAUCGGCCACAUUGGGACUGAGACACGGCCCAGACUCCUACGGGAGGCAGCAGUGGGGAAUAUUGCACAAUGGGGGAAACCCUGAUGCAGCAACGCCGCGUGAGUGAUGACGGUCUUCGGAUUGUAAAACUCCGUCUUCAGGGACGAUAAUGACGGUACCUGAGGAGGAAGCCACGGCUAACUACGUGCCAGCAGCCGCAGUAA